AUCAUAUUUGGUAGCCAAGGAUGACUUGCCUGACUCUUUGUGUAAAAUGUUUAGUGUCUUGUUUGAAGUCACUAUAAGUUGUAUCAAGCAAUGACCAUUUUGCUUAUAAAAAAGAUAUCAGGCAGUCUCCUUGGCUAUCCUUAUAUGUUCU
rfam:Arabidopsis thaliana chromosome 3, complete sequence.